AAAUAGCCGCAGUAUCUUGACUGUGCGAAGGUAGCAUAAUCAUUUGUCUUUUAAUUAAAGGCUUGUAUGAAUGGUUGGAUGAGGGAAUUACUUUCUUUAUAUUAAAAAGUUGAAUUUAAUUUUUAAGUUAAAAAGCUUAAAUUUUUAAGUGGGACGAGAAGACCCUAUAGAAUUUUAUUAUAAAUUUUAUAUUUAAUUUAUGGUUAUUUUUAUAUAUUUAUUUGAAUAAUUUUAUUGGGGUGAUAUUGAGAUUAAAAAAACUCUCAUAAUUUAAUAUUUAAUUAUUUUUAUUUUUAGGAUCCUAUUUUAUGGAUAUUUAGAUUAAAUUACCUUAGGGAUAACAGCGUAAUUUUUCUGGAGAGUUCUUAUCGAUGGAAAAGUUUGCGACCUCGAUGUUGGAUUAAAAUUAGAUUUAA
rnacentral:rRNA from 1 species